ensembl:processed_transcript A430108G06Rik RIKEN cDNA A430108G06 gene
CGCGUCCAUCUCCAUGGACGCUAGACUGGGGCAACGCCUGCGGGGUGCUGCCAUCGCUCUGCUCUGUAAAGCUGGUUCAUGUUGAGGCCACCAGGACAUCUGACCCGCUCAGACUGCCAGGAGCUUCUGGCGCUGGCAGUGUCCCAAAUAUUAAAAACAACAGUGGACAAUAGCGUACCAGAUUCUGAUGACUCCUUAUUUUAUGAGGAAUAUCAGGGGUUGGGUUCUGUUUAUCUCUACUAUCUGUCUGCACCAACAGUUUGAAUGAACAGGACCCUGAUCCAGCCAUAUGAGGAGAGAGCGGAGACCAAGGAGACCAACAGGCCAGGAAGUAUUCUAAAUGAGUCCUGAAGUGGAAAGUUCUGGUUUCCUUGGAAAGUUAUGCCAAACACUGUUUUGCUGGGGCACAAAGGUGAAAGGAUGUCUUGCUAAAGCAAACACGUGAAAGACUGUUUUCCUGAAGCAGACACAGGGGAAAGGGUGUUUGGAUAGAGCAAACUCAUGAAAGGACCUGUGAUGAAGGAGUAGAAAUAUGACCCCGCUGACAGUGGGAGACGAGCACAGAGCACUGGUUUGAUUUGCUCCACCUCAAUAUUCUUCUCUAACAACAUUCAUGUAUUGGUUCGCCUUACAUUGAGCUCAACUCUGAUACUGAGAGAAACUCAACAAAGAACUGCUCAUAAGGUUCCCAUGGUAGCUUGCUGCGUCUAAGGCCUCUCCUCAGGCCGGUUGACAAGCCUGGCAACUUCUCCAGGAUUGAACUACAGUUGUUGGUUCGUGAUUGGUGUCUGCUUGCCAAGAGGACUGGAAUGUAGUUGUUGGUUCAUGGUUGGUGUCUGCCUGCCUAGAGGACUGGUCUGAAGCUGCUGAGUUGUAUUUGGUAUUUGCUAUGGGAAUGAUCUGCUGACCAAGAAGAUCAAGCUCACCUCCAAAGAACUAUCGUUGAGCAGGUCCACUUCCCCCCAUCCUAAUAACUUGUCUCUUCCACUACCUCUGCUGGGGGUUGGGCUAGAGGAGAGGUUGAACUCUUCUUAAAAGUAGGUUGCAAAAAAAUUUUUGCUACAAAAUUCAUGUUCCUAGUUAUGCCUAUUUUACCUUGUAAGAUCCUGUAUUUGAAUGUAUGUUACAUUACAUCAUACUAUACUACACAGAGCUAUAUAGGCCAUCAUGAGCCUCUUGAGGCUAGACACUUUAGAUGGUUUUUCCUCUUUGUGUUACUUCUCUGAGAUAGUAUUUGAAUGUUUGCUGAAAGACUGAAAUGAAUCCGUUUCGAGUAUAUUGCUUUACAUUCAAAUGCCUUCCACUGAUGUAAAGGUUUUUGGUUGUGUAAAAAAAUCAAAUUAUUAAUACU